CUUCCUCUUCUCCUUUCCCCUGCAUGUGUCCCCUGUGGCCCUCAAAAGCCAGGUGAUUCCAUGCCUCAGUGAAGAAGAGCCCCAGCCACUUCAUCUCCCAUCGCCCCACCCAACAAUGCGGUACCCCGUGUUCGUCCCACCCACCCUCAAUGAAGACUCGAGCGAUGGUGAGGCCUCUGCAUGCAGUGCGAUACCUGGGCGCGUUUCCCCUCUGUAAGCAGGCUUCCCCUGUGCUUCUUGAAGUUAUGAUCCAUCCGAUCCCGGUAUCCUGUUUGAGGCUGUUUCCGGAACCCGUUCCUAUAUUGCCAAAAGUCAGAGGUGAGGGAGCCCGUAGAAGGGGUCUGUAGAUGCCACUGUCCAGGAGGCUGGUGGACGAGGGCACGGAGAGGACCCGGAGGGGCCAACGGAAGAGAACCAGCAUCCACAGUCAUGGGAUGAGAAUGCUGAUGACUGCCGCAUGGACGUCUCUCAUUUUCCCAUCUAAUCUGUUGGACGGCCCUACGAGGUGGGCACCGUCACCACUCAUUUUACAGACAGGAAGUCAAGUGCAGGAACCAGUGUAAUGGUAUUUGCCCAUCCAGAUGAUCCAGAAUAAUCUCGCAUGACACUAACAUUUAUAAAGUGUCCGGGCCAG